GACCUCAGCUCAGGCGGGGCUACCCAUUGAGUUUAAGCAUAUCAAUAAGUGGAAGGGAAAAAAACUAACGAGGAUUACCCUAGUAACGGCGAGCAAACCGGGAAGAGCC
rnacentral:rRNA from 1 species